rnacentral:rRNA from 1 species
AAACCAGCACCUCAAGUGGUCAGUAUGAUUAUUGGGCCUAAAGCAUCCGUAGCCGGCCCAGUAAGUUUUCGGGUAAAUCUGUACGCUCAACGUACAGGCUGCCGGGAAUACUGCAGGGCUAGGGAGUGGGAGAGGUAGACGGUACUCGGGAGGAAGUGGUAAAAUGCUUUGAUCUUUCGAUGACCACCUGUGGCGAAGGCGGUCUACCAGAACACGUCCGACGGUGAGGGAUGAAAGCUGGGGGAGCAAACCGGAUUAGAAACCCCUGUAGUCC